rnacentral:rRNA from 1 species
UACGUAGGGACCAAGCGUUGUUCGGAUUUACUGGGCGUAAAGGGCGCGUAGGCGGCGUGGUGAGUCACUUGUGAAAUCUCUGAGCUCAACUCAGAACGGCCAAGUGAUACUGCUGUGCUAGAGUGCAGAAGGGGCAAUCGGAAUUCUUGGUGUAGCGGUGAAAUGCGUAGAUAUCAAGAGGAACACCUGAGGUGAAGACGGGUUGCUGGGCUGACACUGACGCUGAGGCGCGAAAGCCAGGGGAGCAAACGGG